GAUCUUACUGAUGUGGUGAAAGUUGCUACUCAGCGAACCCAGGAUUAUGUGGAAUAUCACUCCCAGUUGCACCUCACUGAUGAGAAGCCACCAGUCCUUGAACCUUAUACGCCAUCUUUGUUGCCUCAUAUUAACCCUAUUGCACCAUCAAACAAAAGCUACAACACGAACCAACCCAUCAUACAGGGACACAGUAGAGCCACUUAUUGUGGUAAGGAAGAGGUUUGCAUAGAGCAGCAACUUGAGUGCUCAAUGCCGGUACCCAAUCAACAACCCAAAAGGGGCAGCAAUGAUCCUUUGGCACAGGAGAAUAGAAGACCUGCUCUAGGAGUUAAUCGCCCUUACCCUACUUCGUCACCUGGCUUCUUAACCAACAGAAACACAUCACAGAUGCCUGCUGAUGACAGAAUAGGGAUGGGUGACAUAACGAGGUAUUUGAUGCGGCGUGAGCUUGUGCACUCUGGUCUUACUAAGUUCAAUGACCAGCCUGAAAGUUACUGGGCGUGGAAGUCCUCUUUUCACAACGCAACUGAAGGGCUGCACUUAACUGCCAGUGAGGAGCUUGACCUCUUAAUAAAGUGGUUAGGGAACCAGUCUUCAGAUCAUGUCGUGAGGAUCCGUGCUGUGUAUUCCACCGACCCUACAGUAGGUGUACAGAAAGCUUGGGAACGCUUGGAGGAGUGUUACGGCUCUCCUGAGGUAAUAGAAAAGGCUCUCCUUGAGAGGGUGGAGAACUUUCCUAACAUCAGUCAGAAGGAUCCCGUGAAACUGAGAGAACUGGGAGAUUUGCUGAAAGAGCUAGAGGCUGCCAAAAGUCAAGGUUACCUGCCUGGACUUUCUUAUCUGGACACUGCCAGGGGUGUAAACCCAAUCGUCGAAAAAAUGCCAUUUGGGCUGCAAGAAAAAUGGCUAGCUCAGGGCUCUCUGUACAAGGAGCAGUAUCAUGUCUCAUUCCCCCCUUUUGCCUUUUUCACAGACUUUGUUUGCAAUGAAGCACGCAGGCGAAACGACCCUAGCUUUGUUCUUUCAACAGCCCCUAGAGGUCAAUCAAGCAGCCUCUAUAGGUCCGUAACAAGUCAGUCUAGGUCCAUGUAUUCAGACAAGAGACCAGGAAAUGGUAAAGGGAAUGUUUUCAUUCACAAAACAGAUGUGUCAUCACAUCACCUGGCUCAUCAGUCAGACAGGUCAACAGUCAUGCUGGAUGACAUUGCAAAACAAUGCCCAAUCCACAAGAAACCCCAUCCUUUGAAAAAAUGCAGAGGCUUUCGAAGUAAACCACUUGAGGAGCGCAAGUCAUUUCUAAAGGAG
rnacentral:lncRNA from 1 species